CAGUAGCCGCGGGAAUACGAAGGGGGCUAGCGUUGUUCGGAAUUACUGGGCGUAAAGCGCACGUAGGCGGAUAUUUAAGUCAGGGGUGAAAUCCCAGAGCUCAACUCUGGAACUGCCUUUGAUACUGGGUAUCUUGAGUAUGGAAGAGGUGAGUGGAAUUCCGAGUGUAGAGGUGAAAUUCGUAGAUAUUCGGAGGAACACCAGUGGCGAAGGCGGCUCACUGGUCCAUUACUGACGCUGAGGUGCGAAAGCGUGGGGAGCAAACAGGAUUAGAUACCCCUGUAGUCCCUGUCUCUUAUAC
rnacentral:rRNA from 1 species